rnacentral:rRNA from 1 species
UGGGGAAUUUUGCACAAUGGGGGAAACCCUGAUGCAGCGACGCCGCGUGAUUUAGAAGGCCUUCGGGUUGUAAAAAUCUUUUCUAUGGGAAGAAAAUGACAGUACCAUAGGAAUAAGGACCGGCUAAUUACGUGCCAGCAGCCGCGGUAAUACGUAAGGUCCGAGCGUUGUCCGGAAUCAUUGGGCGUAAAGGGUACGUAGGCGGGUAAGCAAAUUAGAAGUGAAAUCCUAUAGCUCAACUAUAGUAAGCUUUUAAAACUGCUCAUCUUGAGGUAUGGAAGGGAAAGUGGAAGUCCUAGUGUAGCGGUGAAAUGCGCAGAUAUUAGGAGGAAUACCGGUGGCGAAGGCGACUCUCUGGCCAUAACCUGACGCUGAGGUACGAAAGCGUGGGUAGCAAACAGG